rnacentral:misc_RNA from 1 species
AAAGCUAUCCCAUUGUCAUGGUUGAACCUCCAGAAUCUGGAAACUUUGCUGAUCAGUGAGGAAUUUUCCACCAUUGUUUUACUGCCAAGAUUAUUCAAACUGUCAAAGCUGAAACAUGUGAGCAUUGACCAGAGUUCUUUCUUUGAUAAAGAGGAAGUGGAAGUGGAAGUGGAAGAGGAAGAGGAAGUGGAAGUGGAAGUGGAAGAGG